CUCUGUCCUGGGAGCUGGGCCUGGAGGGCAUUGCCUGUUUCAUUUGUCACUUUGUCCCCAGGGUCUAAGGUAGGCUGGGCCCACAGGUUCUCCCAUCGGGUGUAGCGUGGAUGGCCUGUCACUGUUUAGCCCUUGGAAAACCCAGCGCUGCCUAAUGGAGAAGGGAGCUUCCCUCCCCCACAGGACAGGAUGGGAGACCCACCGUGGGACACCUCAACCCUCACAGGCCUCUCCCCUGGGGACCCCCGGCCGCCCGCCCCGCACCGUGUAAGAACUGGGAGCACUGGGGGUAGCCUUCCUCCGCCUCUUCGCACUUGUCCGCAGCAGUCUCAACGUCGCUGAUGGUGGAGGCAAAGAUGGCGGCGCCGCUCUCCACCAGCUGUUUGCAGAGGUGGACGCUGUUGCAGGAAGCAGCGCAGUGCAGCGGCGUCCUGGAGGGACAGAGGAGGUGCUCACGCCCGGCCGGGUCCCAGGCGGCCCCCAGGGCUGUGUGCUCAGUGCCCCGCGAGCUGCUGUGCUGCUGGCUGUGUAGUGGCCUCACUUCUACUAACAGUUUGGGGCCACACACACGUUUCUGAAAAGGGCGGGCGGGGAGUGGACUGAACACCGGCCUGGAAGCUGGGUGUUCACAGUGCAACAGCACGAAUGUCCCUCACACCAAUGAUGUGUCCCUUACAAUGGCUGCGACAGUGAUGGCUGUGUUGUAUCACAAUAUACAAAAAACAGCUGUUCAAACGCAGCAGUGCAGACUGCUGCCUGAAGCUCACGAUGAGACCCACGGGGCACAGGGCCUGCGGCGCAGCGGCCGGCCUGCAAGGCUCCCCUCCACACAGGCUUUCUGGCCGCUUAAAAACGUAUGGAUCAGCAGAGGCUCAGCCUACAGUCAGCGGUCAGCCACGUGUAGAGCGUGAUCAUGGCCGAGCCUUUAACAAAACCCCCGCGAGAACGAAGACCAGGAGGAUACGCAGGCCUGGGACCAAGUUGCCACCCUCGUCCUCUUCCCUUCUCCCCACCACCCCAGCACCCCGGGGCCCUCACCAGCCGUCGCUGUCGGCGGCAUUCACGUUGACCCCGAAAUCCAGCAGGAACUUCACAAUCUGGUGGUGCCCGGCACAGACGGCGUUGUGCAGCGGGGUGAUGCCCUCGUCGUUGGGCUUGCUGGGGUCCUCCACCUAGGACAAAGGGCGCGUGAGCCCCAGCCCUGCCCGGGGCCACCAGGGCUGCGGCCGCCCGCCCACUCACCUCGUAGAUGAUCCUCUGCACCAGGUCGAACUCCCCCUCCAGGGAGGCGUCAAGGAGAAGCGCCAGCGGGUUGAAGCGGACCCUCAGCCCGUGCCCCGUCCUCUCCGAGUUGGGCUUCUUCAGUUCCUGAGGUUUCCACACUGAAAGAAAACUCAAAAGAUAAGGAAGUUUUAAUAGAAUCAUUCCUCGGACCCAGGGACACACAGAACGAUAUACCCUUGAGCUCUUCUGCAGGAACUAAGGCCCCCACCCAGGUGGAGGAUGCUAACUCCACGCUGAGCACAGACUCCGGAACACCAGCCUGUUCCCUCACCACCAACGAAUCAGAAGAAAGCCACACACCCUGCAGCCCUCCCCUAAAUUUUGCCUAUAAAAAUGCUUCCCUGAGAACCACCAAGGAAUUCAAAUUUUUUGAGCAUGAGCCACCCGUUUUCCUCACUUGGCCCUGCAAUAAACCUUUCUCUUUUCCAAA